rnacentral:rRNA from 1 species
UACGUAGGUGGCAAGCGUUGUCCGGAUUUACUGGGAGUAAAGAGCGCGCAGGCGGUCGUGCAAGUCGCGUGUGAAAGCCCCCGGCUCAACUGGGGAGGGUCACGCGAUACUGCUCGACUUGAAGGCAGGAGAGGGAAGUGGAAUUCCCGGUGUAGUGGUGAAAUGCGUAGAUAUCGGGAGGAACACCAGUGGCGAAGGCGACUUCCUGGCCUGUUCUUGACGCUGAGGCGCGAAAGCUAGGGUAGCAAACGGG